CCACUGAAAGCAGAGUGCACUGGCCCGGAAGAGAAGUCCACGAGAUGUCUAAGAAAGGCAGAUGAAAUAGUCAGCAAGGUGAAGUGUAACUUAUCAGGUGCUCGGCCAUUAGCUGAAUGAGCCUUCCAGCAGACCUCCCUCAUCACAAACCCCCAUCCGUGCUCCAGCUCACCUCCAAGAAAGUUCUGACACCUCUUUUGGGAAAACAUCCAUGCACAGACUAAGAACUAGAACAAGCAGACAUCAAGAAGAAGUCUUGUAGGUUGGAAUUUGUCAUUUGAUCCAAAAUAAAAGUGGGUGUUCAACAAAUGUACACCCUAUGUUCAGUUCAAAAA
rnacentral:sRNA from 1 species